UCUGAUGAAGGCCAAGGUCCAGCUGGGCAUCCAUUCCUAAGCUGAGAGAGGAGGAUCCAGGGAAGCAGCGGCCAGAGGUUGUCUUCUGACCUCACCCUGUGGUCCUUUCCCAGUACUGGGGCAUCAGAUGGUGAGAAUGCAGCAAGCACCUGUUGUUUAAGCCGUGGUAUUUUACCACAGCGACACUACGUGUUCUGCAAGCCUGUCUUCUGACAGCUGUAUUCCCAGUGCCCAAUAAACUCAGGCUACGUCACGGAGAACGGAGGAGAGAGGCCUGCCAAGGAAGAAUGCCAUGGGAGGACACAGCAUGAAUGUUGAGUUCUGCUCUCCACUUACGGAACACACCGAAGGGACUCCUACUGCCCUCAACUGUGGCUCUUCAUUCCAUGAAGUUUCAAACACCCUGGAAGAGUGAAGCCAAGGUUGACACAACUGGAAAUCAACCACAAGUCACGCUCUUUAAUGGGUUCUGACAGCCAGGAGGAACAGGGAAGUAUCCUCCCCAGUUCUGCCAGUACCACCCCCUCCCCCCAAGAGGGAGCACAGCCCAGCCUCAGAGCCUCAGCGUCCUCCAUUGCAAGCUGGGAUGGAAC